UACGGAGGGUGCAAGCGUUAUCCGGAUUUACUGGGUUUAAAGGGUGCGUAGGUGGAUAAGUAAGUCAGUGGUGAAAUCUCCGGGCUUAACCCGGAAACUGCCAUUGAUACUAUUUGUCUUGAAUACUUUGGAGGUAAGCGGAAUAUGUCAUGUAGCGGUGAAAUGCUUAGAUAUGACAUAGAACACCUAUUGCGAAGGCAGCUUACUACGCAUAUAUUGACGCUGAGGCACGAAAGCGUGGGGAUCAAACAGG
rnacentral:rRNA from 1 species